GAUGAACGCUGGCGGCGUGCCUAAUACAUGCAAGUCGAGCGAACAGACGAGGAGCUUGCUCCUCUGACGUUAGCGGCGGACGGGUGAGUAACACGUGGAUAACCUACCUAUAAGACUGGGAUAACUUUGGGAAACCGGAGCUAAUACCGGAUAAUAUAUUGAACCGCAUGGUUCAAUAGUGAAAGACGGUUUUGCUGUCACUUAUAGAUGGAUCCGCGCCGCAUAGCUAGUUGGUAAGGUAACGGCUUACCAAGGCGACGAUGCGUAGCCGACCUGAGAGGGUGAUCGGCCACACUGGAACUGAGACACGGUCCAGACUCCUACGGGAGGCAGCAGUAGGGAAUCUUCCGCAAUGGGCGAAAGCCUGACGGAGCAACGCCGCGUGAGUGAUGAAGGUCUUCGGAUCGUAAAACUCUGUUAUUAGGGAAGAACAAAUGUGUAAGUAACUAUGCACGUCUUGACGGUACCUAAUCAGAAAGCCACGGCUAACUACGUG
rnacentral:rRNA from 1 species